GGGUUGUUAGCUCAGUUGGCAGAGCAGCUGACUUUUAAUCAGCGGGUCGUAGGUUCGAGCCCUACACAACCCACCA
rnacentral:tRNA from 5 species